AGAGUUUGAUCUGGCUCAGGACGAACGCUGGCGGCGUGCCUAAUACAUGCAAGUGGAACGCAUGAUUGAUACCGUAGCUUGCUACACCAUUAAUCAUGAGUCGCGAACGGGUGAGUAACGCGUAGGUAACCUGCCUACUAGCGGGGGAUAACUAUUGGAAACGAUAGCUAAUACCGCAUAAGAGUUUUUAACACAUGUUAGAAAUUUAAAAGGAGCAAAUGCUUCACUAGUAGAUGGACCUGCGUUGUAUUAGCUAGUUGGUAAGGUAACGGCUUACCAAGGCGACGAUACAUAGCCGACCUGAGAGGGUGAUCGGCCACACUGGGACUGAGACACGGCCCAGACUCCUACGGGAGGCAGCAGUAGGGAAUCUUCGGCAAUGGGGGGAACCCUGACCGAGCAACGCCGCGUGAGUGAAGAAGGUUUUCGGAUCGUAAAGCUCUGUUGUAAGAGAAGAACGUUGAGUAGAGUGGAAAGUUACUCAAGUGACGGUAUCUUACCAGAAAGGGACGGCUAACUACGUGCCAGCAGCCGCGGUAAUACGUAGGUCCCGAGCGUUGUCCGGAUUUAUUGGGCGUAAAGCGAGCGCAGGCGGCUCUGUAAGUCUGAAGUUAAAGGCAUUGGCUCAACCAAUGUUCGCUUUGGAAACUGCAGGGCUUGAGUGCAGAAGGGGAGAGUGGAAUUCCAUGUGUAGCGGUGAAAUGCGUAGAUAUAUGGAGGAACACCGGUGGCGAAAAGCGGCUCUCUGGUCUGUAACUGAC
rnacentral:rRNA from 1 species